GGCACGGUGGCUUAGUGGCUUAGUGGUUCGCACUGUUGCCUUGCACCUUCAGGUUGGGGGUUCAAAUCCCACCUCUGCCC